rnacentral:ncRNA from 2 species
UUCUGGGAGGAUUGACAGAUUGAGAGCUCUUCCUUAAUUCGGUGGAGGGGGGUGCAUGGCCGUUCUUAGUUGUUAGAGCGCUUUGUCUGGUUAAUUCGGAUAACGAACGAGAUUUCGUCUAUUAAAUAGGUGCCUGGUUCUCUGCACCUUGCACCCUUCUCAGAGAGACAAGCGGCUUCUAGCCGCACGACACAGCAAUAACAAGUGUGUGAUGCCCUUAGAU